GUCCCCAUCGUCUAGAGGCCUAGGACACCGCCCUUUCACGGCGGUAACGGGGGUUCGAAUCCCCCUGGGGACGCCA
rnacentral:tRNA from 69 species